rnacentral:rRNA from 1 species
AACGCUAGCUACAGGCUUAACACAUGCAAGUAGAGGGGCAGCAUUAGAGAAGCUUCGGCUUAUUUAGAUGGCGACCUGCGAAUGGGUGAGUAACACGUAUCCAACCUGGCUGUUACUGGAGGAUAGCCUCCCGAAAGGGAAAUUAAGACUCCAUGGUAUGAUUGCAAGACAUCUUGUGAUGAUUAAAGGUUUAUCGGUGAUGGAUGGGGAUGCGUCUGAUUAGCUUGUUGGCGGGGUAACGGCCCACCAAGGCAACGAUCAGUAGGGGUUCUGAGAGGAAGGUCCCCCACAUUGGAACUGAGACACGGUCCAAACUCCUACGGGAGGCAGCAGUGAGGAAUAUUGGUCAAUGGGCGAGAGCCUGAACCAGCCAAGUAGCGUGCAGGAAGACGGCCCUAUGGGUUGUAAACUGCUUUUAUAAGGGAAUAAAGUUAGUCUCGUGAGACUUUUUGCAUGUACCUUAUGAAUAAGGACCGGCUAAUUCCGUGCCAGCAGCCGCGGUAAUACGGAAGGUCCGGGCGUUAUCCGGAUUUAUUGGGUUUAAAGGGAGCGUAGGCCGGAGAUUAAGCGUGUUGUGAAAUGUAGACGCUCAACGUCUGCACUGCAGCGCGAACUGGUUUCCUUGAGUACGCACAAAGUGGGCGGAAUUCGUGGUGUAGCGGUGAAAUGCUUAGAUAUCACGAAGAACUCCGAUUG